rnacentral:lncRNA from 1 species
GGGGAGAGGGAUCAAACUGACGUGCGAAGCAGGGUAGCCAGGCCGGGCUCUAGAGUAGCCCCUUCCUCCUCGCCUCGUCAGCCCUGAGGCUACCCUCGUGGGGAAAGUGGGGGCUCAACGGUCUCGUCUUUUACGAAGCAGAUGGACUCCUGGACUCUAGGGCCUCGAACUGUUUGGGAGACUGAUGGGCAGGAGCCUUAUGCAGCCGGAGGGCCGGCGGUCAGUCAGUGGGCUUGGCCCGCGCUGGCGUCUGGCCCAGCUGUCGAAGCUCGGCUGGUCCAAGCUUGCUGCUGGCCCGGAGCUAACUGGGUCCCCUGAUGGCUGGGAUGAAGAGUGCAAUGCAUGUUUCAAAGAGGGCAUGCUUCCUUCACCUGGGUCCCAGGAUGGUGGAACAAAGCUGAAGAUGACUGUGAUUGACAAACAUGAAGAGAAAUAAACCUUACUGUAAGUAAUUUCAACUGGGGGGGUUAUUACCUUAGAAUGACUUAGGUUGAUCAGUGUAUUGCCCAAACUGAAUGAAGACAAACCAUGAGACUAGUAUUAAUUACGAGUAUUUGAGAACUGUAAAAGAUAGGCAGUUGACCUCUAGAGCAGUUGAAACUGAAUACCACUGAAAGGACAAUCAGAAUAUUCUCAUAUUCAGAAUAGGCAUUCUCUUUCAGAGACGAUGAAAACCAGAGUUCAAGUAAGAGAUGUUUGAUUGGUAUUUCAACAUGCCAUACAUUUUGGGACACUCUUAACUGUAGGAAAUCAUUGGUGGUUAAAUUAUGAGCUCCAUAUAAAUUAUGCUAUGUUGGUUUUAUGUUACUAAAUCUAAUAUUGGGUUAACAUUUGAAAUUUGUCAUAUUUUCUAAGCUCUGAAAAAGAAAAAUGAACCUGGAUUUUUGUCUCUAUGCUCAUCAAAUGGUAACAUCAUAUUGCUAAUUUGGGAAAUAAUUACUAAACUCUACUAAAAUCAUUGUUCAUGGAGCUAAAUCCAAAAUUCAGACAUUUGGGGAAAAAAAGAGUCCACAGCAAUGUAUUUUGAUGUUCUUGGGUAAAGAGGAAUCAGUAUUCAUCCUCAGUAUAGAUUGGAUUCCUUCAAACUAUCUUUACUUUUCAAGCAUCUAACAUUCACAGUUAGCAUGUGAGUCCCUCUAUCUAAUAAAAAGUCACAAGAGGCAGCUCUACACAAGAAAGAUUGAUUUGUGAUAUGCUGCUUCUCAUAAUGACACCACCAUGUGGUAUGUUCUGAGGUGGAGCUUUAUUCAUAUGCACCCCAGAUAGUAAAACAAACAGUGUAAUGUAUAAAAAGAAAAUCUCUUUAGAAACAACCUAAAUGUUUAUCAAUAGGAGAAUGGAUCAAAAUAACGUGAUAUUUCCACAUAAUGGGGUAAAAUAUAUUAUGUAAAAUUAAUGAUCCUAAAAGUAUCACAUAUUAAAGUGAAUGUUCAAAACCAAGUUAUAGAUGUAUACAUAUAUACACACACACACACACACACAUAUAUAUAUAAUGAUACCAUGAUUAUAAAAUUGUAAAACAUGCAAAAUGAACAUUAUUUAUGAGUUUCAUAUAUGGUUUAAAACAUUUCAAAUGUGUAUAGGAAUGAUUAACAUCAAAUUUAGUGCAGUGGUUAUUAUCUUUGGUUAUAUGUAAUAGCGAAUGGGAUUGAAGAAAUGUACACAGAGCUUCAACUGUAUCUAUAAUGACUGAUUUUUUAAAAAAAUAACUUUAAAAUCUGAAGUGAAUAUGGUACCUGGUUACCUUGAUACACAGGUGUUUGCUAUAUUCUCUCUCUUUUUCUCUGUGUUUGAAAUAUUUCAUGGGGUCCUAUUGUACAGUACAGGGAACUGUGUCCAAUCUCUUGGGUUAGAAGAUGAUGGAAGAUAGUAUGAAAAAGAAAAAAAA